AACGAACGCUGGCGGCAUGCCUAACACAUGCAAGUCGAACGAGACCUUCGGGUCUAGUGGCGCACGGGUGCGUAACGCGUGGGAACCUGCCCUUAGGUUCGGAAUAACUCCCCGAAAGGGGUGCUAAUACCGGAUAAUGUCUUCGGACCAAAGAUUUAUCGCCUUUGGAUGGGCCCGCGUUGGAUUAGCUAGUUGGUAGGGUAAAAGCCUACCAAGGCGACGAUCCAUAGCUGGUCUGAGAGGAUGAUCAGCCACACUGGGACUGAGACACGGCCCAGACUCCUACGGGAGGCAGCAGUGGGGAAUAUUGGACAAGGGGCGAAAGCCAGAUCCAGCAAUGCCGCGUGAGUGAUGAAGGCCUUAGGGUUGUAAAGCUCUUUUACCCGGGAUGAUAAUGACAGUACCGGGAGAAUAAGCUCCGGCUAACUCCGU
rnacentral:rRNA from 1 species